CCACCCGCGUUCCCAUGUUCUCUCUCUUUCUCUCUCUCCCCCAUUAGCGACAUCCAGUUCCGUCGUUCCGCUAUUUACGCGGAGGAAAGUUUUCGGUUGCUACCUGGAUUUCUUCCGGCAUCCGUCGCGGCAGAAUUUGCAAGAAUUUGUCGAGAGCGUGGCGCACUUUGCGGGUUCGCGAGAACGAGGGACUCUCUGACAAACGCAGGAGUCGAGAAGUACAUUUGAUACCAGACAGAAUGCUUAUGGAAUGUACUGCACCAGGAAAUUUAAUUCAAUACAUAUCUCAAAAUGUCGAUCGUGCGUUCUUUAUCGAGAGAGCGAGAGAUAAACUAACCGGCGCUCUUCAGCACGUAUCAAGGCCAAGGUGACCUCCGAUCAAAGAGUAUUCGCGAAUUAUGACGCUACGCAACGAGAACAACAUGGAGUCUGUCGGUCCCACGCGACGGCGAUGCGCGCACUUCCGGUACGCUACGGCGCGAGAAGCGCGGAAACGCGAUGGCGGAGAAUCACACCGCGAAUCCUGCUCGGGGCCCGGCCACCCUGCGCGAUCCUUCGCGCGAAACUUUGGGCACCUGGUCCAUCCGGCGGCGGCAACGAACGGCGAACGAAUACGCGUUAUUAUGUAGGUCAUGUUUACGCCGAGCGAGGAGAGCAAGAUGGCGGGAGCGCGGAUGCGAGAGAAAGUCACGGAUACGGAGGGUCAGUGCAGGAGACUGCGUUACACUGCAGUCCGGCGCUCACCGGACCUUCACUUAUAUCGUCGCUCGGCUAAUAACGCUAGUAAUGUGAUAUGAUUAGCUUAGUUGAGUUCAGUUUAGUUCGUAUUCGUUCAAUUUAGUGGUUCGCCAGCAAAAUCACAUCGAGUUAAACCCAUUUAGGCCAGUUAAGUUACCGACUUCUCCUCGUUCUCUUGCGGCGGCGGCGACCGCCGCCGCCGCCACUGCCGCCGCUGCCGCGCGACCUCCUGGGGCCUGAUCCUCCUCGAUGCACGGAAAUAUCCAGAAAUGUCCUGACACAUCCCGCAUGAGAUCUGGUCUUGUGCUCUGCCGUGAAAUUGGAAAUUAAGCCGCCGCAGGAGGUCUCGCUAUUGAAACACCUUGUUCACUAAGCCGGGAGUGCAAUUGGUCUUGAAAACCUAGAAGUGUGAUCUAAUAUAAGAAACAAGAUAUCUAAAGCCCUUUUAAAGUAUGAUUUAGAAGAAGAUGUAUACGGAAAGAACAGUUGCUGAAGAAAAAUUGCUAAUUAUUUUUUAUUAUAUUUCCCAUUUGGCAGUAAUUUUUAUGCAAAUGAGCGUUGGAAAUUGUAGCUUGAUAUUUCAGGUAUUACUAUAAUGUUUAGCCUUUCACCGAUAACGAAUUAAUUUAUUAUAAACUUUUUCUUGUAAUAUGCUGCAAGAAAAAAUGAGUUAGACAAUCGGUUGCCUAAAUCGUACCUCACCUUGGAAAAUAUCAAUUUUAUGAACUAAAGUAAUUAAAAAUAUAAGGAUUAAUUUUUAAAAAUACAAGGAAUCAUUAACUGAUAUUUACUAAUAAUUUAUCGAAAAAAAGAUCAAUUAGGAUUUAAUAACACGGAAAUAAGAAAAAAAAGGUUAUUUGGAACGUAAAAUAUUUUACAAUAGAUCUUUUUCUAUGAAAAUAUAAAAAUUCAUUAUAAAAUUGCACGAAUACAUUAUUAUCAGUUACAUAAACUGAUCGAAAGUUAAGUUGUAUUUAGUUGUAUUUGAUUUAAUGUUAUUAGCAUGUACAAAAAGAUGUAACCUGUUAAAUUUUUAUUUGUAUUACUCAUUAAUCAUUUAUUUCAUAUUUUUGUAAGUAUUGCUUAAUAUUAAAUAAAAAUACAAUAUAUUAUGAGGUACAA